UGCCAGCUUGUGGAAUGAUCAUCUCUUC
rnacentral:piRNA from 1 species